GACGAACGCUGGCGGUAUGCCUAACACAUGCAAGUCGAACGAGAUUCUUUUUUUGUUUACAAAGAAAGAAUUGCAGUGGCGGACGGGUGAGGAACACGUAAGAACUUACCUUUUGGCGGGGGAUAACAACGGGAAACUGUUGCUAAUACCCUAUAACGCUGAGGAGCGAAAGGGAAACUGCCAAAAGAGAGGCUUGCGUCUGAUUAGCUAGCUUGGCGGAGGUAAAUGCUCCCCAAGGCGACGAUCAGUAGCUGGUCUGAGAGGAUGAUCAGCCACACUGGGACUGAGACACGGCCCAGAACUCCUAUCGGGAGGACAGACAGUGGGGAAUUUUCCACCAAUGGGCGAAAGCCCUGACUGGAAGCAAUAUCCGCGUGAAGGACUGAAGGAUCGUGGAYUCGUAAACUUCUHUACUUAACNUAGAAAUUUUGACGGUAGUUAAGAAGG
rnacentral:rRNA from 1 species